rnacentral:pre_miRNA from 1 species
UUUGUACUCCCUCCGUCCCAAAAUUCUUGUCUUAAAUUUGUCUAAAUACGGAUGUAUCUAGUUACAUUUUAGUGUUAGAUACAUCUGUAUCUAAACAAAUGUAAGACAAGAAUUUUGGGACGGAGGGAAUAGUAC